rnacentral:guide_RNA from 1 species
GGUUAUACAAACUCAAUCACAGUGUGAGAUGACAACAAUGAAAAGAUUUAAAUUU